ACUACAUGAGUAUUUACGUACAAUUGACUUCCAAUCAAUAAGAUUAGACUAUUAAAUGUAGUA
rnacentral:tRNA from 1 species